rnacentral:tRNA from 1 species
ACCCUGACACUAGUCCAGGGAAGAGCA